AGCUCAGGGCAAAUCUUCCUCAGCAAAAAGAAAAAAAGAAAGAAAAGAAAAGAAAAAAGAUAUAUUAUUCUUUUAGUGUGUUGCUAGAUUCUGUUCACUAAUCAUUUAUUUAGGUUUUUGCAAUCAUGUUCAAAAUACAGAUUCACCUGCAAUAUGUGUGUGUUUGUGUUUUCUCUUUGUCAAAUUACUGGAAUCAAGAAUAUAGUCUUCCUGAAAAUAAUUUUUAACUUUUCUUUUUAUUUAAAGUUAUGGAUCAGCUUAAAAAGCAUUGGAGUAAUCUUUUCCCUACAGGUUUGGUAAGCUUUCCCUGUGAAAAUGUCUGGAUCUGGUAUUUUUGGGGGGAUAAUAGGUUGACCAUUAUAACACCUGGUCUAUUUCAAUUUUCUGUCUUUUUUGAGAUCCAAUUUGGAAAUCUUGUAAUUUGUAUUUAUAUUUUGGCAAUUUUUCUAUAUAUUUUUUGGAAAGUCAUCCCUUCCAUCGAGAUAUUCAAAUUUAUUGGCUAGAAUUGAACAGAGUCGUCCCUUCUGAUGAGGUAUUUUGAAAAAGAUAUAAGAUGCUAUCAGGGAACACGACAGUCUGUGCCGUGGUACACCCUCUGUUGCAUCCUAGCCUUACUGUUUUUUGAAAAAAUGACUUUCCCUCACAUUUGCAGUGAGUUUGCUAAUUCUAUCAGCUUCAUUAUUACAAUGUCGAUCUAGAUUUGAAUCUCAAUUUUACUGUUUCUGAUCUACGUUUACAAUUCCUCUAUCCUGGGUGACUUCGUCCUUUAAAUGUUUGUAUCAAUGGCAGAUGCCUACCCUGCUUAGAUAAUGUUUCUCUAACGUAAGUCGAGUUAAUUCCUUAAUCUAAUGUAGCCUUUGCUCCUACUUAUACAAGCAUUUUGAUAUUCCUCUCCAUGUUUUCCUAGACUUUUCAUCAUGGGAGAGAAUUGCAAUUAAAAAAUUUUGAGGAAAACCAAUUUUCUCUAAAGUAAUAAAAACUAUUCUUAAAAAACUACUGGUAGAUUUAGCUACCAAGUCCCUGCAAGCAAGGUGACAGAGAAGAAUGGAAGGAUUAUGACUUACAGGAGGGCAAAGGACACCCCAAGCUUCCAGAGCGUUCCUUGUCCGCUGACCUGUUUAGAGACAGGAUGCCUAUCAUAGGGCUGGAUGUGAGAAUGACAUUCUUGCUCACGUUUGAAAGUUAUGAAGAGACGACCCUGCUGUGGAACCAACAGAGUAUAAACACUAAGCAAAUAAUACCAAUGUAUUUAAAUGAACUUUAGAAAGUUAAACCGACGUCCACGUAGUAAUAUUCUAAGUGGCUGUCACGAGUGGUUACCAGGAAUACACAAGAAAGGGCUCCUGGAAGUGAUAGCUGGCGUCUGAAUGGCAGGUCCAGGCAAUGUUGGGGUGUGGUUAGGAGAAGCCAUUUAAGGGACCUCAGCUGUGUCACCAUUAACUUCCUAGGGUGAGCUGGGAACUGACCUGUGCCCUGGGGAUAACACAGAUGAAAAAUAAACAGUUACAGCAGAAUGUAGUGUCUAUGGUCUGGCAUUAUCCACCUUCUGAGAAGGUGAAUUAGUUGAUCUUAAGGUCAGAGAAUGAAUGUGCUAGAUGACUAGACACAAAAGUGCGUGAGGUCAGGGGCAUAUAUUAACUCAUUCAAUCCCUAUAUGACUGUCAAGGAGACUGAGGCACAGAGAGGUUAAGAACAUUUUUAAGAUCACACAGCUAGUGAGGGAGAGCUGGGAUUUGAACCCACACUCCUGACAGCUUUAGCAAUCGCUCCCCUUGCCUUGCUACAAAGAUGAAGCGUGUAAAGGCAUAUGGUAUGUACUCAUUAAUUCUAACUGCCAUUCUUAUUACCUUGACCUUAAGAAGUAUUCCUUGAUGUAGACAGCCUGAAUUUUCUUCCUGAUUAUGAGAAUGAUCUUUCCAAAGGAAUUGAUUCUGCCUCCCAAAUACCUAUCCCUUCAGUUUGCCUAUUUCUAAGUCGUCAGGUAUUCAGGCUGCCGUCAUUUCUGACCAGGUUACUGCCGCAGCCUCUAAUUCCUCCUGCUUCCGCUGCUGCCCCUUCCCAUCCUUUAUCCACAGGGCAACCAGUCAUUUUGCUAAAAUGCCAACCUGAUUUCAUUUGUCUAAUUCCUCAAGUAUCAGCAGACAAUCAAAUGAUUAUGGAAUGAAUGAGUGAAUUAAACACAGGACUUCGUUGGCCGUCAGUCCCUCUGUUAGGUAAUGCUCAGAUAAACACUACCACAUUAGACUCUGUCUCAUCUUUUUCCAGCUUCCUUUGCUAAUGAUUCCCACUUUCAAGCAAUUAAUGCUUUCAAUAUUUCACUCAAUCCAUCAAGUGAUGUUGGGGGAUUUAAAAAGUAAAAUGAAGAAUAGUGUCAGUACUGUGGUUUAACUUGGUGAGGGAUAUUUAUACCCUUUAUUUUCAAAUUGCUCUCAAAUUUUAAGUAAAUGAUUAUGAUUAUCUCAUAUGGCUAGAUCUAAGCUAUAUUUUUUCUUUUAAUGUUGUUGCUUAUCUAACAUCAGUAACUUUCAGCAAACCCGUGUCUCUCACCACAACCACCAUUAUCACAUCUCUUAGCAUCGUCAUCAUGAGUCAGCCAUCGUGUGUUAAGGGAAAGCCUCCAGAUCUGACUCUGGAGCCCAUGCAGCUUGCCUAGAGCCCCUCCAUCCUACGUUAUGGACUAAACUGUGUCCCCCUCACUCCCCAAAUUCCUAUGUUGAAGCCCUUACCCCCCAGUGUGACGGUGUUUGGACAUCAGGCCUUCAGGGAGGCAGUAGGUUAAAUGAGGUCAUAAGGGUGGGCCCUAAUCUGAUAGGACUGUGCCCUUAGAAGAAGCAGCGACACCCGAGCUGUCGUCUCUCCUCGUGAGCACAGAGGAAAGGCCUUGUGGGGACCCAGGGAGAAGGGGCUAUCUACCAGCCAGAAGAGAAGCCGCCCCAGAGACCAAUCCCGGUGCCUUGGUCUGGGACUUCCAGCCCCCACAACUGUGAGAAAAUGAAUGUCUUCUGGUUCCCUUAAAACAUGAAGCGAUUUGCCUUCAGCACCAGUCUUAAGCCUAAGACAACUAUCAGUAAUGACCUCUCCUUAACAGUACAUUUGGCUUAUAAUUUUAUGACUUAGAGGGCAAAGGGAAAGUUCAUCAUAUGAGUAAGUUUCAAAGCAUAUGAAAUAUGUCUGUUUUUACCCAGGGAGGGAUUGAGAAGACAGGAAGUCACUGGGUGAAGAUGAAGGAGCUGAUGCUGGUUAAAUGGAAAAGAGAACAGAAAGUGAGGCCGGCGGCGUGGGGGAGGGGUGUCAGGACGCACUCGCCCUGCUUCAAGGCCUUGUCUCAGCCCACACACUUAAAGUUGCUGGAAGAUAAGCUAAUUAAAAUGGUGCAAUAAGUAUUUCCUAACCUUGGUCAAACAGGCACCUUAGCAAGUAUUGCAGUAACUGGUGGGAGAAGAAAAGAAGAAGUGGACACAUUUCAUUCAUUCUUCACUUUCUGCCUGGGUUUGGUGGGUGGUUUCCCCAGACCUGCACUCCUAGGGCCUUGACCCCAGGACGUUUGGGUGUCUGAGACCACCCACAGACCAGGGUGCUGUCUGGAUGGACAGUAAGGUGGGUUCCAAUUCAGUGUUUCAGGAUCAUCAUUCUCAACCCACCCUCAGUCCACUUUAACCUGCCUCCUAGCCUUAGGCCAUCUGUUGGUUCAGAUUUAAAAAACUUUAAACCACCACCUAAAGAGGUAUGAACACUGACUAGCUCCUAAAUACCCGUUUUCUUGUAAAGGCGAGGCAAUCGCGGCUUGUCAAUGAAGGGUGGUAGGGAGGAUCUGUGGAUACCGGAAAAUUCUAUUGGUAAAGAAACUAAAUACCUCUUUCUCAAGAGCUCUGGGCACUUAGGGUGGUUUCUGGUUUUUCAUACCCACACCCCACCAGGGCCUCUGGUUGUUCUGGAUUACGCGGCAGGUUGACUUAGUGAUGUGGGAGCCAAGGAACAUUCCAGAGCCGACUGAUGCUGGCAUGAGUCUUUCCCCGUACUCUGCUCUGGAUUCUCUUCAGUCUGGCUGGACUGGGCCCCCAGCACCGGGCGCAGCAGGGCUGCCCUCGUGGGGCUGCAGCAGGUGCGGAGGGUGCUGCUGCCUGACACCCUGCGGCUGGCACCUCCCCAGGAGUACUGCGUAGGCUCUCCCCAUCCAACCGCUCCAUCGAACGACUCAGGGCUGCCCUCCUAGACAAGUGGAGGGCUGCAAGAACUUUUUAUCUCAGUUACCAGAAAGCAAAUUCAGCAUUUUUCUUUCUCUUGACAUCAUUUCCUAAUCAGGUUUAGCUUACGUUUGAGCCCAAGCUUUGAGUAAAAACAGCGCGCGUGCACUUAGCGCUCAGCCAACUCUUCCCUAAGCUUCGGGCGCAGGGGGGCGGGGCGGGGGCGUCUCACCGGCAGAGCCUCCCCCCGCAGAGCCCGGCCUCGGGGAGGAUCUCGGGGAGGGGAGGCGCAGCGGCGGGGGCGAUGAGGAGGACGUGGUGGAGGGGAUCGUCUGAAAUCGUGCUCGUUCCACUCCCGACGUGGCCGCGCCCCACUGCUCGUGGCAGCGGCCCAAGGGUAUAAACGUGUUUUACAAUCAGGGUUGCCAGGGCACCAAACACCCCCGCGGAGAUGAUAAGGGAGCUGGACAGGCUGCAGAGCUCCUGCUGGCAGAAGCGGGCAGGAAGGCACGGCCUGGACCAACUGCUGAUUUCUGAGAAAACAACCCAGAGGCAAUCACACGCCCAACCUUCUAGCAUUACUUAGCGUGAGGUGAUGCCACACAGUGCAAUAUGUCUUCUAGAACACAACUCUGGCCAGGACCCUCAAGCUUGCAAUUGAAGAACUAAUUUCCUCUGACUGAUAAAGCAAACAUUUGGUGCGAUGGCAUCUAGUUUCCUGAAAGUCUGAGAGAUGGGUUGCGAUGCUGGAAUCGAAGUGGUGACAUACUUAUCUGGAGCGGCAAUAGGUUCCCUCAUCCAUGGAGCUGGCUCAGAAGGAUGUAAAGACGCAACGAGUGUGUUCAGGGACUUUCCCCCACUAAAGAUACCACCAAAAUAAUUAUGAGCAGGACAUUUGAGCGGAGAUCACGUUUGGAAUAGUUUUGUAAACGAUUUUAAGGAAGGCCUUUGCUCUCUCUCUUUCAUCUUCCCAGAAUGCUUUUCCUCUCAGUUUGCCUAUCAAAAUCUUACCCAUUCUUUAAAGCUGAGCUCAGAUCUCAUCUUCUGCAUGAGGUCUUUGGAAGAAUAUUUUUUCCAUUGCUCUUUGUACUUCUGCAAUAGCACUCUUAUUAUAGUGAGUUGUCAGCUGUUUCUUUCGCUUGAUAGCAAACUUCUUAAAGGCAAGAAUUAUUUAUGUCUAUAGAUGCUAAGUGAUUAGUUCAGUUAUGUAUAAGUAGAUGUUCAAUAAAUAUCUAUUGAAUGAGCAUAUAUAGCUGCUUCCCCACAGGAGUGUAAGAGUAACUGCGUUGUCUGACUGCAGCAGUUGAAGACUUCCCCAGGGGCAAUGUCUACAGCACAAGAGUGUCUAGAAAAUAGGAAGGACAUGGUCCACACCUCCUGAUGCUUGCUGCUGUCAUUUACACCUGCUUCUCCAUACUGCUGAGUAAUGAGAAAAUCUUUUCUACUUUGUUAUUGCUCUUGCCUUUUUUUCCUCGGGACUAAUAAUUCAUUGGCCAAGCUAAAUGUCAGUCAUCUUUUCCUUCACUCUUUUUCUUCUCUUUCUGGUUCUUCCAUCAUGCCCUCCAAUUUUGGCUUGUUUAGGCAAGAUUAAUGCUCCUGACUACAGGACACUGUUUUCUCUUUGCACAAAUACUGUUCUGAGCAAGGAUCCUAUUUCUUUGGUGGCUUUGUUACAAUCCAGUAACACCUGGGUAUCUAUUUUCCUUACCGGAAAAAUAGCGCUGUCAAGGGAUUCAGUGUGAAACUCCAUACUUAAUGACUAAAGAAGAUAUUGAUUUGAAAUACCAUCUGUUCCAAAUCUGACAUUUUACAUACGAGGAACCUGAGAUCCCACCUGAGAUGGAACAACAGGCAGCUGCUUUGCACAUGAAGAACUUGCAUUUUGCAAGUUGCAGUGUUCUCCCUGCAGAAGAUAUCAAGCUGAUGUAUUAGUGUCUCCCACUCUUUACUCCAAUUUUCUUAUCAGGCAACCAUCAGGUCUAUCAUUGUUUCUUCAUUUGGAGACAGAACUGGU